AUGAGAUAGCCAAAGGAAGUGGUAUUGUAAAUCCUUCCAGGUAAGCUGCAGAAGCCUCCAUCUGUCCUGAACACUGGCAACAAAGAAACAACCUCUAACAAUGGAAGGAAGACUUUGGUUUUCUCCAUCCAUGUCACCAAGACAUAGAAGAAAAACAAUUUUUCCAAAACAAUAAUAAAGCAGCCAAGAGGAAAAUCCAAUAAAGUUGCCGAGAAAUGACAGUGCUCUAGGAACAGAUGGACUGCUUCAUUUCUGAAAUCUUAUGAAGAAUAUCGACUGACUGAAACAUUGACAAAGAUUUUUUUAAUGCAACUUUAGAGACAGGGAAAAUAAUCAGGUCCCUUAUUAACAUGCAAGCUGGGUGAGAUGCUUGAAUCUUGAGAUAACAUUUGCAACCUCUUUUGCAUUUUUCAGAAUUACUAAAUAAUUUAUCAAUUAACAAGAUCUAAAAUAAUAUACCAUACUAGUAUGAUCUUGAUUUUUGUUUAAAGCCAAUUUCCCUUCCUUGCACAGUAAUUAUGGUUUUAAAAUUAUCAAAUACUGAAAUGGCAUUUCUAUUUGCUUCUUAGAACCUUUGAAUUGCCCACUUCAUAUAGUUGGAAGAUAUUUUGAGGUAGAGAAACAGGAAUUAUCAGGGAGAGGGUAUUUAUUUCCUUUCACUAGGGCUAAUUUUUGUCAUCAAUAUAAUGGACUGUCCCCUUCAAAAAACAACUCAAGAGCUUACAUGGCUUCCUUUGGAAGAUUUACUUACAUACCACCUCUUCUGGUUCUACCAGUAUCUCUUGUGUACUUACUACAACAUAUUGCCGAAUUUUGCUUAUAUACUGGUUUCUCCAGGACCUGGUACUUUUCUACCGCAGUAUCAAGCAUAAUACGUGGCAAAAAAUCACCAAUAAAUGUUUCUGAAAUAUUAGACUGAUGGUAGCACCUAAUAGGUCCCACAUCACUUUAAUUCCCUAUUAAAAAUCAUUCUAGCUGUGA